UCUGGUAGUUAUGGCGAGAAGGUCACACCCGUUCCCAUCCCGAACACGGUAGUUAAGCUUCUCUGCGCCAAUGGUAGUUGGGGGCUUCCCCCUGCGA
rnacentral:rRNA from 1 species